rnacentral:rRNA from 1 species
GAUGAACGCUGGCGGCGUGCCUAAUACAUGCAAGUCGAGCGAACAGACGAGGAGCUUGCUCCUCUGACGUUAGCGGCGGACGGGUGAGUAACACGUGGAUAACCUACCUAUAAGACUGGUAUAACUUCGGGAAACCGGAGCUAAUACCGGAUAAUAUAUUGAACCGCAUGGUUCAAUAGUGAAAGACGGUUUUGCUGUCACUUAUAGAUGGAUCCGCGCCGCAUUAGCUAGUUGGUAAGUUAACGGCUUACCAAGGCAACGAUGCGUAGCCGACCUGAGAGGGGGAUCGGCGACACUGGAACUGAGACACGGUCCAGACUCCUACGGGAGGCAGCAGUAGGGAAUCUUCCGCAAUGGGCGAAAGCAUGACGGAGCAACGCCGAGUGAGUGAUGAAGGUCUUCGGAUCGUAAAACUCUGUUAUUAGGGAAGAACAAAUGUGUAAGUAACUAUGCACGUCUUGACGGUACCUAAUCAGAAAGCCACGGCUAACUACGUG